rnacentral:lncRNA from 1 species
AUCAACUUCUGAAAGACCUUUGUUCUUAGUACAACCUACAAAUUAUUUUACAUUUGAUCCCUUCAGUAUAAUGUCUAUAAUGCAGAGAUCAGAACAAGCUGUAUAAUCUCGGUAUACUAAACACAUAUAUACUGCUACACAUAUAAAGGCUAAUUGUAAUAUACAGCCACACUAAACUAGUUUGGAUAGACGUGGAGCCUCCAUCUCACCAGUUAAAGCCUUUCAUCAAUAUGUCUGAGAUCUGUGUGAGUUCAGGGAUUCUUUUAAAUCUCAUUUAAUCUGAUCAUUAAAGAAAUUUCAAUGGCACACAAGUAAAAGGUGGCUAGACUAGAAAAAAAAAAAAAAGUGUAUUUUCCCAAUUUCAACUGAAGCAGAAAAACAAUAUGAAGUUCCAGACGGUUCACAAGGCAAACCUCUCAAUGUCUCCUC